UACGUAGGGUGCAAGCGUUGUCCGGAAUUAUUGGGACGGUAAAGAGCUUGUAGGUCGGUUUGUCGCGUCUUGCUGUGAAAUUUCGGGGCUCAACCCCGAACUUGCAGUGGGUACGGGCUAGACUAGAGUUGUGGUAGGGGAGACUGGAAUUCCUUGGUGUAGCGGUGAAAUGCGCAGAUAUCAGGAGGAACACCGAUGGCGAAGGCAGGUCUCUGGGCCAACUACCGACGUGAGAAGCGAAAGCAUGGGGAGC
rnacentral:rRNA from 1 species